AACGAACGCUGGCGGCGUGCUUAACACAUGCAAGUCGAGCUAUGAAGCUUCUUCGGAAGUGGAUUAGCGGCGGACGGGUGAGUAACACGUGGGUAACCUGCCUCAUAGAGGGGAAUAGCCUUCCGAAAGGAAGAUUAAUACCGCAUAAGAUUGUAAUAUCGCAUGAUAUAGCAAUUAAAGGAGUAAUCCGCUAUGAGAUGGACCCGCGUCGCAUUAGCUAGUUGGUGAGGUAACGGCUCACCAAGGCGACGAUGCGUAGCCGACCUGAGAGGGUGAACGGCCACAUUGGGACUGAGACACGGCCCAGACUCCUACGGGAGGCAGCAGUGGGGAAUAUUGCACAAUGGGGGAAACCCUGAUGCAGCAACGCCGCGUGAGUGAUGACGGUCUUCGGAUUGUAAAGCUCUGUCUUCAGGGACGAUAAUGACGGUACCUGAGGAGGAAGCCACGGCUAACUACGUGCCAGCAGCCGCCGUAAGAC
rnacentral:rRNA from 1 species